GCAUUGCUGACGAGUCCCAAACAGGAAGAAACAGCUGUGCAGUGC
rnacentral:hammerhead_ribozyme from 1 species